GCUUCAUUAAAGACAGGUCGUGCUUGGCUAACGGUUAGCUUCAUUAAAGACAGGUCGUGCUUGGCUAACGGUUAGCUUCAUUAAAGACAGGUCGUGCUUGGCUAACGGUUAGCUUCAUUAAAGACAGGUCGUGCUUGGCUAACGGUUAGCUUCAUUAAAGACAGGUCGUGCUUGGCUAACGGUUAGCUUCAUUAAAGACAGGUCGUGCUUGGCUAACGGUUAGCUUCAUUAAAGACAGGUCGUGCUUGGCUAACAGUUAGCUUCAUUAAAGCGGAUCACCUGUUCAUUCAUUAAAACUGCCCCUGUCGAGCUGGAUGCAUUUAAUAUAUAUUGAACAGCAGUGGGUGAGAGUGAAUGAACAGGCAGGGACAGCUAAACGGCUCAGUAAUGACACCCACAGAGAUGGCGAUUACCUGGCUAUAGG